CCUACGGGAGGCAGCAGUGGGGAAUAUUGGACAAUGGGGGGAACCCUGAUCCAGCCAUGCCGCGUGUGUGAAGAAGGCCCUCGGGUUGUAAAGCACUUUCAGUGAGGAAGAACGCCUGGUGGUUAAUACCCAUCAGGAAAGACAUCACUCACAGAAGAAGCACCUGCUAACUCCGUGCCAGCAGCCGCGGUAAUACGGAGGGUGCGAGCGUUAAUCGGAAUUACUGGGCGUAAAGCGCGCGUAGGUGGCUUGAUAAGCCGGUUGUGAAAGCCCCGGGCUCAACCUGGGAACGGCAUCCGGAACUGUCAAGCUAGAGUGCAGGAGAGGAAGGUAGAAUUCCCUGUGUAGCGGUGAAAUGCGUAGAGAUCGGGAGGAAUACCAGUGGCGAAGGCGGCCUUCUGGACUGACACUGACACUGAGGUGCGAAAGCGUGGGUAGCAAACAGGAUUAGAUACCCGGGUAGUC
rnacentral:rRNA from 1 species